CCAAUAGCGUAUAUUAAAGUUGUUGCAGUUAAAAAGCUCGUAGUUGAAUUUCGGGAUCAUCAGGUUGGUCGUGCCUCUGGUAUGUACUGAUUUCGAUGGUCCCUCCUUCUUGAAGAGCCGUAAUGCCAUUAAUUUGGUGUUGCGGGGAAUCAGGACUGUUACUUUGAAAAAAUUAGAGUGUUUAAAGCAGGCAAUCGCUUGAAUACAUUAGCAUGGAAUAAUGAAAUAGGACGUUCGAUCCUAUUUUGUUGGUUUCUAGGAUUGACGUAAUGAUUAAUAGGGAUAGUUGGGGGCAUUAGUAUUCAAUUGUCAGAGGUGAAAUUCUUGGAUUUAUUGAAGACUAACUACUGCGAAAGCAUUUGCCAAGGAUGUUUUCAUUAAUCAAGAACGAAAGUUAGGGGAUCGAAGACGAUCAGAUACCGUCGUAGUCUUAACCAUAAACUAUGCCGACUAGGGAUCGGAUGAUGUUAAUUUUUUAAUGACUCAUUCGGCGCCUUACG
rnacentral:rRNA from 1 species